rnacentral:rRNA from 1 species
GACGUAGGAUGCAAGCGUUGUCCGGAUUUAUUGGGCGUAAAGAGUUCGUAGGCGGUUAUUUAAGUCUGAUGUUAAAUACUGUGGCCCAACCACAGAACUGCAUUGGAUACUGGAUGACUUGAGUGCGGUAGAGGCAAGUGGAAUUCCCAGUGUAGCGGUGAAAUGCGUAGAUAUUGGGAAGAACACCAGUGGCGUAAGCGACUUGCUGGCCCGUAACUGACGCUGAGGAACGAAAGCCAGGGGAGCGAAUGGGAUUAGAUACCCCAGUAGUCCUGGCCGUAAACGAUGGAUACUAGGCGUUGUGGGUAUCGACCCCUGCAGUGCCGCAGCUAACGCGAUAAGUAUCCCGCCUGAGUAGUACGGCCGCAAGGUUG